GAACUGAAACAUCUAAGUACCCCGAGGAAAAGAAAUCAACCGAGAUUCCCCCAGUAGCGGCGAGCGAACGGGGA
rnacentral:ncRNA from 1 species